rnacentral:lncRNA from 1 species
GAAUAUAUAUAUAUAUAUAUAUAUAUAUAUAUAUAUAUAAACAAACUCCCCAAUCUCUCCUCUUCUUCCACAGAUGCCAAGAAACCCCCUUUUUUUUUUUCAGAGCAUCGUCAAAUCGGACCUUUCCAAAGUAUAAAGAAGAAGAAGAAGGGAUUAAAUCCCGCCUACCUGAAUGCAUCAAGAACUCCAACCGCUUCCAUGGGCAAGAGAGGGCGAGAGAAAACCAGGGUUUUUUUGGGGUUUCGGGGAUAUGGAAAGAACAAGGCCCCUCGUCCCAGAAGAAGAGCACCGCCCAGGGCAAAGAACGGAGACUGUGCGCAGUAAAAAACAGGAAAGGAAAAAAGAAAAAGCAGACAAACGGGGCGCUCCUCACACCGCCAGAUGCCUCUGGCCAACUCAACUCAUCCACCAGUGCUCGUGAGAGCAAACAGAAGGUCAAAAAAGGCUCUCAGACCCGAUGGGAUGCGUGGGCUCUCCUUGACUUAAUCCCUCGGUGCCAGAACUGGGAAAACAUCGACGACAACGUUACCAUUGGCAAAAUACAAGGCCAAGCUGUAACAUUGUGCCAAAAUAAUUACUCUCUAUUUGUAUACACACACACACACACACACACGCAGUGGAUAUCUAAAAAUAAAACCUUUCUUUGUCCAGAGAUAAUUUUUUCCUUUUCUUGAAUAAAUCAUUAGCCAAUCUAAAUGUGCCACGUUUCACCCAAAUAGGG